rnacentral:rRNA from 1 species
ACGCUAGCUACAGGCUUAACACAUGCAAGUCGAGGGGAAACGGCAUUUAGUGCUUGCACUGAAUGGACGUCGACCGGCGCACGGGUGAGUAACGCGUAUCCAACCUUCCCAUUACUGUGGGAUAACCUGCCGAAAGGCAGACUAAUACCGCAUAGUCUUCGAUGACGGCAUCAGAUUUGAAGUAAAGAUUUAUCGGUAAUGGAUGGGGAUGCGUCUGAUUAGCUUGUUGGCGGGGUAACGGCCCACCAAGGCAACGAUCAGUAGGGGUUCUGAGAGGAAGGUCCCCCACAUUGGAACUGAGACACGGUCCAAACUCCUACGGGAGGCGGCAGUGAGGAAUAUUGGUCAAUGGACGAGAGUCUGAACCAGCCAAGUAGCGUGCAGGAUGACGGCCCUAUGGGUUGUAAACUGCUUUUGUAUGGGGAUAAAGUCAAUCACGUGUGAUUGUUUGCAGGUACCAUACGAAUAAGGACCGGCUAAUUCCGUGCCAGCAGCCGCGGUAAUACGGAAGGUCCGGGCGUUAUCCGGAUUUAUUGGGUUUAAAGGGAGCGUAGGCCGGAGAUUAAGUGUGUUGUGAAAUGUAGACGCUCAACGUCUGACUUGCAGCGCAUACUGGUUUCCUUGAGUACGCACAACGUUGGCGGAAUUCGUCGUGUAGCGGUGAAAUGCUUAGAUAUGACGAAGAACUCCGAUUGCGAAGGCAGCUGACGGGAGCGCAACUGACGCUUAAGCUCGAAGGUGCGGGUAUCGAACAGGAUUAGAUACCCUGGUAGUCCGCACAGUAAACGAUGGAUGCCCGCUGUUGGUACCUGGUAUCAGCGGCUAAGCGAAAGCAUUAAGCAUCCCACCUGGGGAGUACGCCGGCAACGGUGAAACUCAAAGGAAUUGACGGGGGCCCGCACAAGCGGAGGAACAUGU